UUCAGGUAACACUGAAUGGAGGACCGAACCGACUUACGUUGAAAAGUGAGCGGAUGAACUGAGGGUAGCGGAGAAAUUCCAAUCGAACCUGGAGAUAGCUGGUUCUCUCCGAAAUAGCUUUAGGGCUAGCCUCAAGUGAUGAUUAUUGGAGGUAGAGCACUGUUUGGACGAGGGGCCCCUCUCGGGUUACCGAAUUCAGACAAACUCCGAAUGCCAAUUAAUUUAACUUGGGAGUCAGAACAUGGGUGAUAAGGUCCGUGUUCGAAAGGGAAACAGCCCAGACCACCAGCUAAGGUCCCAAAAUAUAUGUUAAGUGGAAAAGGAUGUGGCGUUGCCCAGACAACUAGGAUGUUGGCUUAGAAGCAGCCAUCAUUUAAAGAGUGCGUAAUAGCUCACUAGUCGAGUGACACUGCGCCGAAAAUGUACCGGGGCUAAACAUAUUACCGAAGCUGUGGAUUGUCCUUUGGACAAUGGUAGGAGAGCGUUCUAAGGGCGUUGAAGCAUGAUCGUAAGGACAUGUGGAGCGCUUAGAAGUGAGAAUGCCGGUGUGAGUAGCGAAAGACGGGUGAGAAUCCCGUCCACCGAUUGACUAAGGUUUCCAGAGGAAGGCUCGUCCGCUCUGGGUUAGUCGGGUCCUAAGCUGAGGCCGACAGGCGUAGGCGAUGGAUAACAGGUUGAUAUUCCUGUACCACCUAUAAUCGUUUUAAUCGAUGGGGGGACGCAGUAGGAUAGGCGAAGCGUGCGAUUGGAUUGCACGUCUAAGCAGUAAGGCUGAGUAUUAGGCAAAUCCGGUACUCGUUAAGGCUGAGCUGUGAUGGGGAGAAGACAUUGUGUCUUCGAGUCGUUGAUUUCACACUGCCGAGAAAAGCCUCUAGAUAGAAAAUAGGUGCCCGUACCGCAAACCGACACAGGUAGUCAAGAUGAGAAUUCUAAGGUGAGCGAGCGAACUCUCGUUAAGGAACUCGGCAAAAUGACCCCGUAACUUCGGGAGAAGGGGUGCUCUUUAGGGUUAACGCCCAGAAGAGCCGCAGUGAAUAGGCCCAAGCGACUGUUUAUCAAAAACACAGGUCUCUGCUAAACCGUAAGGUGAUGUAUAGGGGCUGACGCCUGCCCGGUGCUGGAAGGUUAAGAGGAGUGGUUAGCUUCUGCGAAGCUACGAAUCGAAGCCCCAGUAAACGGCGGCCGUAACUAUAACGGUCCUAAGGUAGCGAAAUUCCUUGUCGGGUAAGUUCCGACCCGCACGAAAGGCGUAACGAUUUGGGCACUGUCUCAACGAGAGACUCGGUGAAAUCAUAGUACCUGUGAAGAUGCAGGUUACCCGCGACAGGACGGAAAGACCCCGUGGAGCUUUACUGUAGCCUGAUAUUGAAAUUCGGCACAGCUUGUACAGGAUAGGUAGGAGCCUUUGAAACGUGAGCGCUAGCUUACGUGGAGGCGCUGGUGGGAUACUACCCUAGCUGUGUUGGCUUUCUAACCCGCACCACUUAUCGUGGUGGGAGACAGUGUCAGGCGGGCAGUUUGACUGGGGCGGUCGCCUCCUAAAAGG
rnacentral:rRNA from 1 species